rnacentral:rRNA from 1 species
AUACGGAGGAUCCGAGCGUUAUCCGGAUUUAUUGGGUUUAAAGGGUGCGCAGGCGGCCAUUUAAGUCAGCGGUUAAAUCGUGGGGCUCAACCCCAUUCUGCCGUUGAUACUGGGUGGCUUGAUUGCGGUCGAGGUUGGCGGAAUUCGUUGUGUAGCGGUGAAAUGCAUAGAUAUGACGAAGAACACCGAUUGCGUAGGCAGCUGACCAGACCGCAAAUGACGCUCAUGCACGAAAGUGCGGGGAUCGAACAGGAUUAGAUACCCUGGUAGUCCGCACAGCAAACGAUGAAUACUUGUUUUCGGCGAUAUAAUGUCGGAGGCAAAGCGAAAGCGAUAAGUAUUCCACCUGGGGAGUACGCCGGCAACGGUGAAACUCAAAUGAAUUGACGGGG